CCUACGGGAGGCAGCAGUAAGGAAUAUUGGUCAAUGGACGCAAGUCUGAACCAGCCAUGCCGCGUGCAGGAAGACGGCUCUAUGAGUUGUAAACUGCUUUUGUACGAGGGUAAACGCAGAUACGCGUAUCUGUCUGAAAGUAUCGUACGAAUAAGGAUCGGCUAACUCCGUGCCAGCAGCCGCGGUAAUACGGAGGAUUCAAGCGUUAUCCGGAUUUAUUGGGUUUAAAGGGUGCGUAGGCGGUCGGAUAAGUUAGAGGUGAAAUCCCGAGGCUCAAAUUCGGAAUUGCCUCUGAUACUGUUCGGCUAGCGAGUAGUUGCGGUAGGCGGAAUGUAUGGUGUAGCGGUGAAAUGCUUAGAGAUCAUACAGAACACCGAUUGCGAAGGCAGCUUACCGGCGCCCAACUGACGCUGAAGCACGAAAGCGUGGGUAUCGAACAGGAUUAGAUACCCUUGUAGUC
rnacentral:rRNA from 1 species